rnacentral:rRNA from 1 species
UUGAACGCUGGCGGCAGGCCUAACACAUGCAAGUCGAGCGGAUGAAGGGAGCUUGCUCCUGGAUUCAGCGGCGGACGGGUGAGUAAUGCCUAGGAAUCUGCCUGUAGUGGGGGAUAACGUCCGGAAACGGGCGCUAAUACCGCAUACGUCCUGAGGGAGAAAGUGGGGGAUCCUCGGACCUCACGCUAUCAGAUGAGCCUAGGUCGGAUUAGCUAGUUGGUGGGGUAAAGGCCUACCAAGGCGACGAUCCGUAACUGGUCUGAGAGGAUGAUCAGUCACACUGGAACUGAGACACGGUCCAGACUCCUACGGGAGGCAGCAGUGGGGAAUAUUGGACAAUGGGCGAAAGCCUGAUCCAGCCAUGCCGCGUGUGUGAAGAAGGUCUUCGGAUUGUAAAGCACUUUAAGUUGGGAGGAAGGGCAGUAAGUUAAUACCUUGCUGUUUUGACGUUACCAACAGAAUAAGCACCGGCUAACUUCGUG